rnacentral:tRNA from 1 species
ACUUCCCUGGUUCAGUGGUUAGCACUCUGCUCUUUCACUGCUGAGAACCUAGGUUUAAUUCCUAGUCGGAAGUU